AUGUGAAAUUGAUAAGUUUAUAAGAAGUGAAGCUAACCAAUUUUGCUUCUAAAAGGCUCAAGUGACCCUUGGAUUUUCAGAUUUUUCUGUAAACGUAUAUUUUGUAGAUUAAUUACGUUUCAGAACAAUUUAACGAUUCAAAUAAGGAUGUGAAAGAAUCUAUUGACCUGGCUGUUUCUUUAUUUUCAACUUAUAUCCCUAGGUCUAUGCUAUUUUAGAGUGGCACGUGAAGAAAGCGAGUAGUAAUAUUGGAAGCAACGAAAUCGGGCAACGAGUCCGAUUCGCAAGAAUUCUAAUAGCGUUCGAAGGUCGACCGAAAGCGGAAAAGUAGUUCGCCUAACGAUCGAUGGCGAGCUUUCCCGAUAAAAAGACAACGAACGGACGAUCCGCCGUUUACUUACGCAAGAUGGUUGCUAUUGUCUUUCAUAGAUCAUCAAUUGUUUAUUUUUUAACGAUCAUCAAGAAUACCAAGGCUUCUAAUGUGUUCUAACGAAUAUCUAAAUUAUUCAAUUCCUAACUCGAAGAAUCUAAACUCCAGGAGAGUAUCAGAAAAGUCCUAAAUUUCGAAAAUAAAUUUCAAACAUCAUUGACCAAAGAAACUUUCAAACUAAAUUAUUCGGAAAACCGAAGCAUUCCCGGAAGUUUCGAAACAAACUAUCAAGAAUCGAGACAACGAUUUUCCAUUUUCCGAUCGGUAUUUCCCUGAGUCGUCACCGACGCGGGAACCGAACCGGAGGCGACACUUCCGGGAGAUCAGCUUGUCGCUGGGAGGAGUGCCAGUACGAGCUUGAAGGGAUGAGAGAAAAGACGAAGAAGGAGGGCAAAGACCGUGUCGAGAAGGAGGUCACCCGGAUUUCGAGCGGUCUUCUCUCUACUCACCAGAAAGCGAACCGUAUCUCAAGGUAGCCCAUCAUUUUUCGUGGGAGGAGUUUUUGGCACGGCUGCCACCCCUUUUCCCUCCCGAGUUCCACCGAGUAAUCGAUCGAUCCGCCAAGACUAUGCUUUUACCACCUUCCCGAUAGACGCCAUCAAGAAAAACGCGCGAUUACUCCGAUCGUUUUUCGCUUCUUUAAAAACUUUCCAGCUCGCUGAUCUCUGCAUAGCUUUCAACGAUAUUAUUCCACUACCAAAACUGUAUUCCAGAUUGGUUGAAACCAGAAAUGAUAAUAUGAAUUUGCAUUUGAUCGUCGAGUACAGUAUGUGAAUUUCUUAUUCAAAUACAAUUUUAAAGCGUCUGAAUAUGUAGUCUACAAUUAUGAUCAAAAGAGAGUUUACAGUGUGAAAUAGAAGAAACGCUGUGAUUUUACGAAACUGAAUUAUGAUUGGCGAGAGAAUUGAAUAUAUAAUAUAA